rnacentral:rRNA from 1 species
UACGUAGGGUGCGAGCGUUAAUCGGAAUUACUGGGCGUAAAGCGUGCGCAGGCGGUGAUGUAAGACAGGUGUGAAAUCCCCGGGCUUAACCUGGGAACUGCAUUUGUGACUGCAUCGCUGGAGUGCGGCAGAGGGGGAUGGAAUUCCGCGUGUAGCAGUGAAAUGCGUAGAUAUGCGGAGGAACACCGAUGGCGAAGGCAAUCCCCUGGGCCUGCACUGACGCUCAUGCGCGAAAGCGUGGGGGGCAAACAGG